rnacentral:rRNA from 1 species
GAUGAACGCUGGCGGCGUGCCUAAUACAUGCAAGUCGAGCGAACGGACGAGAAGCUUGCUUUUCUGAUGUUAGCGGCGGACGGGUGAGUAACACGUGGAUAACCUACCUAUAAGACUGGGAUAACUUCGGGAAACCGGAGCUAAUACCGGAUAAUAUUUUGAACCGCAUGGUUCAAAAGUGAAAGACGGUCUUGCUGUCACUUAUAGAUGGAUCCGCGCUGCAUUAGCGAGUUGGUAAGGUAACGGCUUACCAAGGCAACGAUGCAUAGCCGACCUGAGAGGGUGAACGGCCACACUGGAACUGAGACACGGUCCAGACUCCUACGGGAGGCAGCAGUAGGGAAUCUUCCGCAAUGGGCGGAAGCCUGACGGAGCAACGCCGCGUGAGUGAUGAAGGUCUUCGGAUCGUAAAACUCUGUUAUUAGGGAAGAACAUAUGUGUAAGUAACUGUGCACAUCUUGACGGUACCUAAUCAGAAAGCCACGGCUAACUACGUG